rnacentral:sRNA from 1 species
UUGAGAAAGAGCAAGCAUACCAUGAACUAUCUUGAAGGUACGAUCGAUUUUGCAGGACAAUUAAGGUGUCAAAAGUAUAUGAACUAUGGUCUAUGUACAAGUGCUGUAUGUCAGGGAUAAAAUCUCAUUUAUUUACUAAUAUAUCUAUAGGUUAUUUCGUACAUUUAUGGGUAUUUAGUUCAAGAUUCUUAUUGUGUGAUUAAAUUGUUUUUAAUUUUAGCAUCGUUGGUGGCUCUUGUAAGCUAGUUUUUUUGCUUCUAGUCAUGUAAUAUUAACAUUCAUUUAAAAAUAGGUGUGUCUUCCUGCUUGGUCUAUGUACAACAAAAACCCUUUAAAAUUUCAAAAGAAAAAGGAGUAAGCGGGAAAUGGGGAAUCUUUCUUUACUUGAAUCGCAAUCUCGCGAAAUUAAAGAACCAAAAUACCAAACAAAAGUUGCUCCGGCUUUAUAGAAUACAAAUAAUCUUUCAUUCCAAAAGUAAUGCUAAACAUGUUUUAACAACUUUUGUCCGAAAACCUUUUUUUAAACGCACAUUUUUUGCAUAUCCACAAUACACGAUCGAUAGAUGGAUUUUUCCGUGAUGGUUCCUCAAAUCUUAUUGAACAUGACUUUCCUGGUACCAAUAAAGAGUUACAUCCUUUACAUAUGGUGCGCUUUAUAUCUGGGUGUAUUCGCAUUACUGAUUUUUGUGAAACAUCCUUGGCUGUAGAGAUAUAGUGUCUCGACAAUGUAGGUUCUUGAACGUUUCUAAAAAGUAAUUGCGAAGCCUGGUAUAAAUAUGAUACCCUUGCAUGUUGGUCCUUUGACUUUGUACUCAUCUCGACCGUUUAUGUUUAAAACACUUGAGCUAUUAAAGGAAUUGCAAAACAGAGAACAAACAACUUUCCGUUUUUAUAAUGGAAUGCAAAAGUCAAAAAAAUUAUUUUUAACUUAACAAUUUAAUUAUGUUUCUUAUAAAAAUCCUUCAUUAAAUUAAUUAAUAAAUAGUUAAUGCUUGUUGCAGUCUGAUUUUACCAUAGGUCAAAUUUUUAAUUUGUUUUUCCACGG